AAAGAAAGAACGGUAUCCGGGACGGAGCAGAUAAUCAAUAUGUUCAAAUGAUUUGAGAGCAAGUUUUCCCAAGGGGGAAGUGAGGAAAGCCUGAAAAUGACAGCCUGGGAAAGCUUCCUGGGGUCUUUGGUGGAGGGGAGGAUAUCGUUUAAAGGAACAGGCUUCCAAUUGUCAUUUUUAAAUUGGGCAAAAUGUCAACAUUACCCUUUUAUGCUCUUUCUACAAACUGGGAAAACUGAAGCUGUGAGGAUGCUCCCUGAUCACUGGUGUGAUGUGGGAUUUUCAGUGAUCGCCAAAGGGACAGGAAGGAAGCUCUGAAUUAUGAGAAAAACUUCAUAUGUUCAUCAUCUGCAGUCCUCAAUAUGAAACAGUGGACCAAGGAAGCUUCUGGAGAGCUUCGUGAAUUCCCCUGUCUCCAGGCCAUUAUUAGUUUUCCUGUUUCUGGGACGCUCAUGCUGCAAAUUGAUGACACUAGAAGACACCAUCCUGAGUGAGGUAACCCAGUCACAAAAAGACAAACAUGGUAUGUACUCUCACAUAUGGAUUUUAGACAUGGAUCAGGGGAUUGCCAACCUACAAUCCACACUGCCAGAGAGACUGGGAAACAGGGAUUACCCUAAGG
rnacentral:lncRNA from 1 species